ACACUGUGCUCUAGUGAGAAAAAAAAACCCGAUGUACGUUCGAUUUUUAUAAUCGAACGGUUUAGACAUAGCGUGCGGAGUUGAUAAAAUUGCGGGAUCGCAUCGGUUUGGUUUCCUCACCGUACUUAUUUGUCAUCUCAUGUUGAACAAGUGCGGUGAAGACACCAAAUCCGACUAGGCGUAAUCCCGCACGUUUAAUCACAAACCAGCAUUUCUACCCACACGCAACGUGCGCAACGCGCUAUCCUUCAUUCCACGGCAGCAACAAUUUUUCUUUCCAAGAUCCUACGAGCCGGUCCCCAACGACUCGCGGCGAGCGUUAGUCAAAACUCGCAGUGAGCUUUCAUUGCUACUUGCACUCUUCCCCGAUCGCAACAUUCCCCGAAGAGUUGUUAGAAUCGAGCCAGACUGAGUGGCAAAAUGCGCAAACACUCUCCCCGCAGAAGGCUCUCACAAGCCUCCCGACGAUGCUAUCGGUUCAUUCAUUCGGGAAUAAUGCUUUGCUUUCGUUUUUCCGAACGCGUUCAUAAGCGGCAAGCGAUUUCGAGUCGCACGAGGCGAGUAUCAGUAACCUUGAUGAACCAUUCCCUGACUUCAUCUGACUAACGUAACAGUUACCGGUCCUCUGGUGAUUUUCACUGUGAUGAACCCAUCGAUUCUACGAGGAAUUUGCGUACUUGGAGUUCAUUCCGAGCGUGUUCAUUCCUCGAUUCAUUUUAUUUUUCGAUAAAUAGUAAAGAUGGCGUGAGUUGGAAAUCAACGUAAAGAUUUAGGAGACUUGUUAUCAAUUUGAUCAAAUUCUAAGAUCAUCGAACCAUUUUUCGGACAGCAUUAUUGUUAGCAAUGCAGAUCACAUUGGUACAUGAUUCUGGAAGAGCUGGUGGCUAUCCCGUUGGUGAAGUUCAAGCAAAAGUGGCCUGGAACUGUCUGACGAAAGAUUCGAGGAUAACGAGCCGAAAACCCACAUCAAAUCCAGGCAAUCUAGUACAGGACCAAAUUUAAUAUCAGAUGUGUCAGCAUUGCUACGCCGAAUGUGUAAUACUGUGUGCCAAAACAUUGGAUCAAUAAAUGUUAUGUUUUAUUUUGAA